UGGCGAUGGUUCUAAGUCUGAGCAUCCGCUUCAGAGCACUCCGAAUUGGCUGAAUAGUGCGCUACUUCGGAAUCAAACCCCUCAUUCUCACUACUCUGGUGAGACCACGACGACCGCUGCGGAUAACAUCAACACCGACUUUCUUAAUCUUCACACGACUGCUCCCAAUUCUGUGGUAUCUCACCGCUCCGGUCAAUGGCUCUCCCGCCCGAUCCUCCAUCGCAAUCAAAGCGAUGUUAUCGAUGACGUCACUGAUGCCGCCGAUGCUAUGAUUGGCGCUACUGCCACUUUGUCGCGUGAAUCGGAUGAUUUGAAGAACAA
rnacentral:misc_RNA from 1 species